rnacentral:rRNA from 1 species
UCUUUGCUUAACAAGGAAAUUGCCAUUGAAACUGUUAGACUUGAGAAUGGACGAGGUAGGCGGAAUUCGUAGUGUAGCGGUGAAAUGCAUAGAUAUUACGAAGAACUCCAAUAGUGUAGACUGCUUACCAGACCAUAUCUGGCACUAAGGCACGAAAGUGUGGGUAUCAAACAGGAUUAGAUACCCUGGUAGUCCACACAGUAAACGAUGAAUACUAACUGUUUGCGAUAUACAGCAAGUGGUCGAGCGAAAGCGUUAAGUAUUCCACCUGGGAAGUAUGCCGGCAACGGUGAAACUCAAAGGAAUUGACGGGGGCCCGCACAAGCGGAGGAACAUGUGGUUUAAUUCGAUAAUACGCGAGGAACCUUACCCGGGCUCGAACGAUAUUUGAAUACAUCCGAAAAGAUGUAGCUAGCAAUAGCAAAUACCGAGGUGCUGCAUGGUUGUCGUCAGCUCGUGCCGUGAGGUGUCGACUUAAGUGUCAUAACGAGCGCAACCCUUACCGAUAGUUACCAUCAGAUAAUGCUGGGGACUCUAUUGGGACUGCCACCGUAAGGUGUGAGGAAGGAGAGGAUGACGUCAAAUCAGCACGGCCCUUAUGUCCGGGGCGACACACGUGUUACAAUGGGAGAAACGAAGGGUCGCUACCUGGCAACAGGAUGCUAAUCUCGAAAAUCUCUCUCAGUUCGGAUUGGAGUCUGCAACUCGACUCCAUGAAGCUGGAUUCGCUAGUAAUCGCACAUCAGCCAUGGUGCGGUGAAUACGUUCCCGGGCCUUGUACACACCGCCCGUCAAGCCAUGGAAGCUGGAAGUACCUGAAGUAUGUAACUAAAAGAGCGUCCUAAGGUAGAUCA